CAGGAUGAACGCUAGCUACAGGCUAACACAUGCAAGUCGAGGGGUAGCAGGGUAGCAAUACCGCUGACGACCGGCGCACGGGUGAGUAACACGUAUCCAACUUCCCAUAACUCAGGGAUAGCCUUUCGAAAGAAAGAUUAAUACCUGAUAGUACUUUUUCAAGGCAUCUUGAGAAAGUUAAAGAUUUAUUGGUUAUGGAUGGGGAUGCGUUCCAUUAGAUAGUUGGUGAGGUAACGGCUCACCAAGUCUUCGAUGGAUAGGGGUUCUGAGAGGAAGGUCCCCCACAUUGGUACUGAGACACGGACCAAACUCCUACGGGAGGCAGCAGUGAGGAAUAUUGGUCAAUGGGCGAGAGCCUGAACCAGCCAAGUAGCGUGAAGGAUGAAGGUCCUAUGGAUUGUAAACUUCUUUUAUAGUAGAAUAAAGUGAUCCACGUGUGGAUUUUUGUAUGUAUACUAUGAAUAAGGAUCGGCUAACUCCGUGCCAGCAGCCGC
rnacentral:rRNA from 1 species